rnacentral:rRNA from 1 species
UGGGGAAUAUUGGACAAUGGGCGAAAGCCUGAUCCAGCAAUACCGCGUGAGUGAUGAAGGUCUUCGGAUUGUAAAGCUCUUUUAGUGGAGAAGAUAAUGACGGUAUCCACAGAAAAAGCACCGGCAAACUUCGUGCCAGCAGCCGCGGUAAUACGAAGGGUGCUAGCGUUGUUCGGAAUCAUUGGGCGUAAAGCGUGCGUAGGCGGCUUAGUAAGUCGAUUGUGAAAUCCCGAGGCUUAACUUCGGAAUUGCAAUCGAAACUGCUUUGCUUGAGUAUGGUGGGGGAUAGUGGAAUUCCUAGUGUAGGGGUGAAAUCCGUAGAGAUUAGGAGGAACAUCAGUGGCGAAAGCGACUAUCUACGCCAAUACUGACGCUGAGGCACGAAAGCGUGGGGAGCAAACAGG